rnacentral:rRNA from 1 species
UGGCGGACGGGUGAGUAACGCGUGAGGAACCUGCCUUGGAGAGGGGAAUAACACUCCGAAAGGAGUGCUAAUACCGCAUGAUGCAGUUGGGUCGCAUGGCUCUGACUGCCAAAGAUUUAUCGCUCUGAGAUGGCCUCGCGUCUGAUUAGCUAGUAGGCGGGGUAACGGCCCACCUAGGCGACGAUCAGUAGCCGGACUGAGAGGUUGACCGGCCACAUUGGGACUGACACACGGCCCAGACUCCUACGGGAGGCAGCAGUGGGGAAUAUUGGGCAAUGGGCGCAAGCCUGACCCAGCAACGCCGCGUGAAGGAAGAAGGCUUUCGGGUUGUAAACUUCUUUUGUCGGGGGCGAAACAAAUGACGGUACCCGACGAAUAAGCCACGGCUAACUACGUGCCAGCAGCCGCGGUAAUACGUAGGUGGCAAGCGUUAUCCGGAUUUACUGGGUGUAAAGGGCGUGUAGGCGGGAUUGCAAGUCAGAUGUGAAAACUGGGGGCUCAACCUCCAGCCUGCAUUUGAAACUGUAGUUCUUGAGUGCUGGAGAGGCAAUCGGAAUUCCGUGUGUAGCGGUGAAAUGCGUAGAUAUACGGAGGAACACCAGUGGCGAAGGCGGAUUGCUGGACAGUAACUGACGCUGAGGCGCGAAAGCGUGGGGAGCAAACAGGAUUAGAUACCCUGGUAGUCCACGCCGUAAACGAUGGAUACUAGGUGUGGGGGGUCUGACCCCCUCCGUGCCGCAGUUAACACAAUAAGUAUCCCACCUGGGGAGUACGAUCGCAAGGUUGAAACUCAAAGGAAUUGACGGGGGCCCGCACAAGCGGUGGAGUAUGUGGUUUAAUUCGAAGCAACGCGAAGAACCUUACCAGGGCUUGACAUCCCACUAACGAAGCAGAGAUGCAUUAGGUGCCCUUCGGAGAAAGUGGAGACAGGUGGUGCAUGGUUGUCGUCAGCUCGUGUCGUUGAGAUGUUGGGGUAAUUCCGGCAGCGAGCGCUAUCCUUAUUGUUCGUUGGUCCGCCAGAGCACUCAAGCGAGACUGCCAUUGACAAAACGGAGGAAGGUGGGGAUGACGUCAAAUCAUCAUGCCCCUUAUGUCCUGGGCCACACACGUGCUACAAUGGUGCAUACCAGGGGAAGGGACUUCCGGGGAGCAGACCAACUUCAUAAAA